GAUGAACGCUGGCGGCGUGCCUAAUACAUGCAAGUCGAGCGAACAGACGAGGCGCUUGCUCCUCUGACGUUAGCGGCGGACGGGUGAGUAACACGUGGAUAACCUACCUAUAAGACUGGGAUAACCUCGGGAAACCGGAGCUAAUACCGGAUAAUCUAUUGAACCGCAUGGUUCAAUAGUGAAAGACGGUUUUGCUGUCACUUAUCGAUGGAUCCGCGCCGCAUUAGCUAGUUGGUAAGGUAACGGCUUACCAAGGCGACGAGGCGUAGCCGACCUCAGAGGCUGAUCGGCCACACUGGAACUUGGACACGGUCCAUACUCCUGCGGGAGGCAGCAGUAGGGAAUCUUCCGCAAUGGGCGAAAGCCUGACAGAACAACGCCGCGUGAGUGAUGAAGGUCUUCGGAUCGUAAAGCUCUGUUAUUAGUGAAGAACAAAUGUGUAAGUAACUAUGCACUUAUUGACGGUACCUAAUCAGAAAGCCACGGCUAACUACGUG
rnacentral:rRNA from 1 species